rnacentral:rRNA from 1 species
AGAACGAACGCUGGCGGCGUGGAUAAGACAUGCAAGUCGAACGGGUUUAGUUUCGGAGCAAUUCGGAAUUAGGCCAGUGGCGAACGGGUGCGUAACACGUGAGUCAUCUGCCUGAAAGUGGGGGAUAGCUCGCCGAAAGGCGAAUUAAUACCGCAUGUGGUUGUAAGACCAAAGCCGGGGCAACCUGGCGCUUUUAGAGGAACUCGCGGCCUAUCAGCUUGUUGGUGAGGUAACGGCUUACCAAGGCUUCGACGGGUAGCUGGUCUGAGAGGACGACCAGCCACACUGGAACUGAGACACGGUCCAGACACCUACGGGUGGCAGCAGUCGAGAAUUUUUCUCAAUGGGGGAAACCCUAAAGGAGCGACGCCGCGUGGAGGAUGAAUGCUUUCGGGUUGUAAACUCCUGUCAUUUGGGAACAAAGCCUUACGUUAACUGCGUGGAGUUUGAUAGUACCAGAAGAGGAAGAGACGGCUAACUCUGUGCCAGCAGCCGC